ACACCCAGUAGCCUGAUUUACUCCUCAGUCUUUAUUUUUUUUUUUUUUUUCAGAAUUUUCUUGGCAAGUCGCUUCCAUGAGUGAGCCUACAUUAUAGAAUUGUAGAAGAAAUGAUACGAACAGGAGCAAGUUCAGUAGCCUAAGCACCACCUGUGAUAAAGGAGAGAUCUGCAGGCCCUAUGAAAUUUUUAAAGAUUGGAAAUACAAGGAACAGAAGAAUGAAUUAAAUGGCACCACCAGGAUACAAUCUGCAAACUCUACAAUGUGGAAAAUUCUAUGAGACAGUGACUGGUUGAAUAAGAAAGAACUGGGAUCUUCUCACUCUUGUAAAGGUGAGAAAAGCAGGAAAUUGGUGGUUCCAAGUAUCAUUGAUACUCUACAGCUCACAUCUGCAAACUGCCAGCCACAAGCCUACAUCUGUUUUACCUGCAAGAGCUCCUAAAGGUGAAUUGUCUUUGUGGGUUAUACUCUUUCAAAUUGUCCCCCCAAAACACUUGCCCACAGUUUGGGGCCUAUUUGUCCUUUCAGGUUACCAGCUUGCAGGUUAAUCUGGCACAUGUUUAAAUAAGAAUUACUAUGAUAGCAAUGUUUCUCUUCAUUUAAUUUGUAGUUUGAGUUGUGUCCCCUGGAUAUAUAUAUG